rnacentral:lncRNA from 1 species
CUGUUAAAAUGACCACAGUGUACUUUAUUUAAUGAUUUUGGUACCUUGUGUUGCAAUAAAAUAAAAAAAAAAUCUACAAAAUCCAAAUAUAUAAAAUUUCAAGUUUCUUUUUUUUUUUUAAAGUUUUACAAGAAAAAAUCAUGUAACCAAGGAAAUCUGUUCAUUGUGAAGCACUACUUUCCACGUCGUUUCAUCACAAAUUGCAACUUACUUAACAGACCAAAAUAACGAUGGUACUGCAGUACAUCAAAUACUCCACACACUGUGCUUUCAACUACAGCAGGUGGGGCCGUGCCCAGUGACAGCGGCCUCCAGCCGAUAAAGACACUCUUACGAUCCGCACGCUAAAGGAAUGUUUGGAUACAUGGAGUUUGAAUAUAUAUAUUUACAGGAAGGAAAAAAAAUUAAUAACUAGUUUAAUUCUUUUCAAAUAAAAUUCCAAAUACAUUUGUACAGUGUUUACAAAGUAAAAGCACAAGAACUGCCAAGGUUCUCUUUCGGGUCCAGGUACUGUGCUUGUACUGGGGGGGAACUUCUAUGCCAUCCCCUAAACCCACACGGGGUCUCUCCGACCUCAUUUCUGUAUGGGUCACGGGAGAGAGAAGCACAGGAAUGGCCCUUGCACACACGUGGAAGGUCAUGCAGAGAGUUGGCAAACAGGGAACUGAGAAAUGAUUGGUCCAUUCUCUUCAGCCGGCCAUUCACCUCCCGCCUGGUACAUUUGCUUUUCAGAGAGAGAUUUCAAACAACAACCACAACCGAAAAUUGAACUGGGGAAGGAGCACAGAAUGUUUAAGGCAAAUUAAGCAAAGAGAGAGCAGCUUCUCUUGGUGUUGAGUGGAAAUGAGGAUUGCACCCCAAAUCGAACUUAGAAACGAACAAAAUGAAGUACAACCUCUUAAGGGGGGGUUGCUUAUACACAAAAUUUUUGAAAAUUGCUUUUGCACCAAGUAUCCUUUUGAGAUUUUAAAUAAACGACUCGGUUACAAAGUGCAUGCUUUCAUGUUUCGAAAGAAAACUGUAGCUGAGGUAGUUCGAUGUGAAACUGAUUUACUUAAAAUAACUGGAGAAUGAAGAACACAUUUUUGUCAGUAGCAAAAAUCCUUGCCAUCAGGAGGCAGGUUUAUAUUGUGCAAUGAUUUAAUGCCAAGCAAAAUGCUUCUAUUUUCUUAUCGGAUGGCAUUAAUUAAACCGAAAUAUUAGUGGUAGCAGUAUGUAUUUCCAAUUGGUUUGCUAGGAUGUCAGUACGGAUGAAGUCUAUAUCCCUAGUCAUUUUAGAAUUCAUGCUUUCCCUAUUUCUGCAUUGAAGCUGUAACAUAAGAUGGCAUUGGUUAUCAUCACUAGACUCUUUGAUCUAAACUGUGAAAAGGAUUUAGUAAAAACGGAGAAAAAUCAAUAGGAAGGAUGAUUUCACUCUACUCUUAUGAUGUUUUUGUCUUUAGCCCUAAAUUCAACGUACAAUUUGGUUUCAAAGGGGGAGGAAAUGCCUGGUUUACUGGCUGCCCUCCUCAUUCUGAGAAUGGGAAAACCUACCUUGCCUGUCCAUCAGCCUGUCUCUCUCCAGGCUCUUGAACUGUCUGCUAAUUGAGAAGAAAAGCAGACACAGUUGGGUCUCUUCCUGCCUCAAGAGAGGCUUCAGGUAGGACCCUCAAAAAGCAGUGGACCCAAAGCUUUGUUUUUCAGCAAUCUCGCACCAUCUAGAUAUGAAAAGAGUAAUAAUAAUCUGCCAAGAAUAAGAAGGCAUGUUGGGAGACAUUCCUUUUGAGCAAAACAGAAUUUCCCACGUGUUUCCUACCAUUUGUUUAUGGGAUAGAACAUUACCUGGAAGAAGCCAUGGAAGUUGGCAAGUACACCGAAAAUGUAUGAUGAAUGUGAUGAGAACAUAACCAGUCCACAGCAUUGUAAUCGGAUUUAUCUUUGCUAAAAACUAGCUUUUCUAAUUUUCAGGAAGGACGCCAGAGAAUGCCAAGUGGCUGGAAAGUCUUAGAAAGAGUAAAAUGUAUGGGGCUCAAAUCUCCUUUUCCCCAAAGAUUACCUACGCAGUUUAUAUCUAAUGACAUCUCGCCUGCACUUUUUUAAAAUCUCGAAUUUGGAUUCUACCAUGUUGAAGAGGUGUCUAGCCCUAACCCAGUUGGAUUUAGUUCUGUGUCUUCGUGGCGAACCCUCUCAAUGACAUAGUCUCCCCCCCUGACCUCCUCUCCUUCUGGCCCACCCACCUGCAAAUCUGCCUCAUCUCGUCUUAUCUCCAGGCCCUUGCACUGAGGCCAGUCAACCUCAGUUUUCUUGUGCAAAAAAAAGACAUGGAUAUUUCCCUUCUUAGCAACAAGCAUAUUCUGCCGUACUUUGUGUUGGAAAGUUAUCGAUGCUAGGUACGGAAAAAAAAGCUGGAGAAGUCCAAAUUAUUUUGAUUCACUUACACUCAUAUUUUGAAUUUAAAAACUCUCCAAACCAACACAACAACAACAACAACAAAACGGUACUUAUCUUAAGUCUGAUGUGGCAAAUAAUUUUUUUAAAUGGGUCAGAUAAUUGCCUAGGUUAAAUUCAUGGUUCAGAAAGCUUAACAUGCAUUAGAAAUGUUUAACCAGGCUAAAAAUGUAAGCCUUCAAUAUACCACUGGCAAAAAGGUUUUAGAAUUCAGAAGAGAUUGUGUUGAAUGUGUAUAUCACCUCCAGGCAUAACAUGAUUUUCAACCAAAUCCUGAUAAACCUUCUGAAACUGUAUUUCAUCUUUUUGAGAGCAUGCAAUUUUUUUUUUGCAAAGGAAUGUAGUUAUUAAAUAAGGGCAGAACGAUAAUAUUUAUGUGCAACAACUUUGUCUCACAAAGUCACAUCCCUAAAACAUUUCCUGCGUUGUUAGUAUAGUUUCAUGGGCAUAUUCUUACUUUAUGAUAUUGCCUCCUGGGCUCAAAAAUAACAAAUCAUAUCACUUAGCACCGGUUCUUAUUCCGACUAGAUAUUGAAGAGAAAACAUGUUACUUUGGCAGGAAGUUGCACAGGACGUUCUGUGUUACGGUUUUCCAUCACUUGCUCUGUCCUGGAGUGGUCCCCACAUCUGCAUAGGCAUGAAACACAUGCACCUGUGGCUGAAGUCUUGUGUAAACAAAUGCUUCUCUGAAAUAGUUAAAAUAUGCUUGUAAUCUGAAAACAAAUCAACUCAGGCGUUCAAGAAGAAAUAAGGCUUUAGAUUUUUUUCUUGAGUUGGAAAGGGAGAAAUGUGUAGUCGGAAUGGGAGUGAAUCUCCCUGGAAACAAUACAAAGUCUGAUCUCAAUAUCUACUAAAAUUCUCCCUCCUGGUAGCGGUGUCCGAGCACCAGUUGGCAAUCAUGAGCGCUGAACGGGAUGUCAUGCACACUUCUGGAAAAGGUAGCCUGGGUUCAGGAUCGCCACCGUUUCAGGAGCCAAGCUUUCAGGAUACAUUUCAUAAACAUUUAGUGAAAUUCAGUUUGACUAAGAGGAGACUUGCCAUUCUCUGUGUUUGUAGGAAAUGGGUUAAUUUUCUAAUUAAAAAGGUGAUAACUAAAAGGAAGGAAGGAAAAGUUCUACAGAGGCCUCUGAAGAAAAAGUUUCACUUAUGUGACCGAGAGAAGUCAGGGUCUUUGCCUGGCGGGUUAUUGCUGUUUUGUACCUAAACCGCCUCCACCUGCCUCCGCAGCCCAAUCCCCGCCGGCUGCACCAGUUACCCAGGGACAAAUCACUUCUCCCACUCUAAUUAGUCUUCCCAGCACCCCUCUGAGGCAGGUAAAUAAAUUUCCCACCAGGGAAAAACGAGGAUGAGGUUGGCUUCCUGUUCCGUGAUAACCCCUGACAACCGGACAACCCUCAUCUCCGCCUCCAGAAUCAAGAAUCUCCUAUAGUGUGAAUGCAUAUUCUGUUUCAUAGAAUACACUUGUCUGUUUAAAACAGUCGUUGUAUUCAACACAGAGGUUUUUGGUUUUCUACUAAACCAAACAUUCCAUUUAAUGAUCACACGAUAAAAGAUAAACGCUGAUGCUUUUGCGGUCGCCAACCGAUUGUCACCUCUUGGUUGCCAAUUCACCUAAACUUUGGGCUGAGCAUCCUGACAAUAACGUGAAGGUACAAGCGUUGGAAAAGGACUUCAUACACAGGUCGGGGAAGAAGAAAAGCAAGUUCAAGAUGGAUUGGUGUGCACAUCCGCGGCCGGGGGCUGGGAGCAGUGGGGCAGCUCUCCAAGAACACCUUCCAAGGAGCUUUUCCAAAGCAGAGAGCAAUGCCUGCCCCGCGGGGUCAGGUGGCAGGGCUGGCGGCCCACCUGAUUCCGGGAAACUUCUGCACCUGAUGGGAGGGGGGAUGGGUCAAGGACGGGGCCGCCGAGCCCACACAGGCCUUCUAACUUGGCGCCUUGUGUAGAAAUAGGCACAAACACCACCUAGGAAUCUAUAAACCAUUUAGAUUUUCUCUGGAAACCCUUUCACGAUCUUUGCAUAGCUGAACCCCUUCAGGGCUCCGUGUGUGGGCUGACCAGCACCACAAAGCUCAUUCUGGAGCAUAAGCACGCUUAAUGGGAGGGGCCUGAGUUUGGACCAGCUUCAGAGCUGCCAGUAGGGAUUGCACACAAUGGCGGAAAUACACAUGAUCACCAAUCCACCAAUCAGACGAAACGAGGAAGACACGCCCCCCCAAUAAUCACGAAUACAAAAGUCCUAAGACUAUCUCAGACUUCCCUUCUGACAGAUGAAUUUCUCUUUGAUGUCAUCUUUUUCUUUUUAUUCCCGUGACUACAAAGAAAAACCCAAAUAUUCCAGUGUGUGUGAUAACCAGUUAGUUCUUGGUCAUCAAUAAUGCAAGUCAAAAAAAAAAUUAUAUCUUUUUUUUUUUCAUUUGGUAAAAACAGCUUUUACUUCUCCUGACACUGUGGAAUUUACCAGGAAAUAACUUGGGGGAUUGGGUCCAGGACCCCCUGGGGUACCCAAAUCCAAGGAUGCUAAAGUGCCUUUCAG